AGGAUUGAAAAGUGUACAGAUCUCUGUAGGUUAUUUAAAAAUUAAUUUAAGCUAUUCGCUUUCAAAAAUUAUAUGUACAGGGUGAGAUGAAAAAACUGCAACUAACUUAAGAUUGCUGUCAUUUCUGAGCCACUCGUCGGACAGCUGUUAAAAUUAUUCCAGUGACAGCUCAUUAUAUUGUUUACAAGGCUCAAAAGCAUUUUGGUGAGAAUUUUCCAAAAAAAACAGUUAUUCGUGAUGGAAUUCAAGCGUGAUAGUGUGAUUUUUUUAUAUUUGGCUUGAAAACUACAAGUGGCUAUCGUUAGAGCACUCCAGCAUUUAAAUGUGAAUAAAUCUUUUGUGUUUCGUACCAUCGCUCCUUACCGUGAUACUGGUAGCGUAGCCCGACUCAAGGAAGUGGAGGGAAGAAAAAAGCAAAGGUACCCAUUUCGAACAAAUAUAAACUUAUUCUAAAAUUUGAUGCUAUUUCCGACAUUUUUUGCUUUCAUUCAAUAAAAUUUAAAAAAAAAUGUAAAAAUUAUUGCGUUUGACUUUGUUGCAGUUUUUUAUCUCACCCUGUAUAUGGAUCUUCGCCCCUCGCCGCCCUGUUUCGAUCUAGCUAUGUGUGCCGUCCGCCCGUCUGUCCAUGUUAAUUUAACUCAAUUAUGGUCCGAUCAUUACGAAAUUGAAAAUGGAGGCGGGGUUAGGGUCAGAGGCUUUUUUGGUUUUGGAGAUGAUCGCAGCAUUUUUAGGCGUUGAAAUGUACCAAAAAUAAAACAAUUCUUGAUUUUGUUGUUGCUCUACAGGCCACAAUUAUGGACCACACAGAAUUUUGCAUGGAGUUAGAGUUUAGGGCUAUGCAGAAGCCUACCAAUUUGUACGGCCAUCGGACAAUACUUAGUGAGUAAAAAAUAUACAUUUUUUUAAAUAUACGAAAAUCUCCACUAAACCGCGAAUCCUGACGCGAUUACAAAUUCAUUAUUACGGUGACCCGGAUAUUUUUUUGUUAAUUUUUUUCAAGUUUUGUAUUAUUUAUUUAUCUAUGCAAGGUUGCUUUCUUCAUACUAAGAACACAAACUGCCAAUUUAGAGCAAAUUUGGGCUAAAAAUGUGACUGAAACAACCACAACACCUUAAAUCUGCCGGUACAUUUUUAAUAGCAAAAAUUUUGGUUCAAUACCUCAAAUACAUCUGAGUAAAAUUGUAUCAAUCUACUUCAUUUCGUUCGGAAGAAGAAGAGAUUUUUUAAAGUAAGUUUUUUGUAUAUUAUUACAAACAAAUUGCACUGCAGUGAAGUUUUAGCCAAAACGUUAAAAUAGACCAAGCUAAACUUUCAAUAACCUCUACCAUGAGGCUCUAUAUCAAAUAAUGCGGUCAGACAGACGGACAUCGAGUUAAAAUUUUAAGUUGAUCAUCAAUGUAAAGGGUGAGAUAAAAAACUGCAACAAAGUCAAACGUCAUAAUUUUUAAUUUUUUUUUUUUAAAUUUAUUGAAUGAAAGCAAGAUUUUUUCGAAUUGGUCACCUUUGUCACGAAUUAUGGCCUUCAAACGGCCAAUGAAACCGUCACACGCUGCCCGAAUGGCGCUCGGCGGUAUUUUGACCCAUUCCCGGCGAAGCGCUUGCUUGAGAUGAUCGACACUUUGGUAUUUUUUUUUUUAGUGCCAACCUAGCUUUCCAAAAUACUCCAGACACAAUAGUCCAACGGAUUGGUAUCCGGAUAUUUUGGUGGCCAUUGUGCGCUGGAAAUAAAGCAGGAUAUUUAUUUUGUAACCAUUCUUAGGUGGCGCGUGCUGAUUGCGAUGGGUCUGAGUCCUGUUGGAAUGUCAAAGGUCUGCGGCCAAAAUUUUUGCGUGCCCAAGGCUUUAAUACACCCUUCAGAAUAUUUUCGUGAUAGUAUUCGGCAUUUAUUCUGAUGCCAUGUUUGAUUAAUACGAGCGGAGAGCGACCAUCUGCUGUUAUGGCGGCCCACACCAUCACCAAGAUAAUGCAAGACCGCAAGAACAACAAGACACACGUCUAAGAUGCAACAGAACCCCAUUCCUAUUCUGCCCCAACCCCAGGCCUUAUUAGAAACUCGUAAACUCAACUAUAAUUGUAGUAUUCCGGCAGAUACUCUGGCAAUCAACAAGUCUGUCGAGAUGGUGAAAGGGCUUAGCAUUAGCAUAACAGUACCAGUGAUAGUCAGGCCGCCUUAAAGCUAUCAAAUAGAGGGUCAUUUUUAAUUGCAAGAAAAUCCUCUUUGAAAUACGUGGCUUCAUUAAGGUCUAGUAAUGCAAUGUGUGACUAAUAAAAUGCUGAUUGAAGCAAUUGUAAAACUGCUGAUAAGCCAUUAUAUCAACCGUUUGAAGCACCGAGUUAGCUGGCGGAAAAUGAAACCUAUAAACCACUAUUCCAUUUGCUAAAAGCAUCUCCUGUCUGGACAGGGAUGGAAUUUGGCACUUACGACCGAAUUGAGUCUAGAAGCUAGUAUGCCAAAUUUGGUGAAGAUCGGUUCUGAUAUAGCUAUAACUCCCAUAUGUACUGUUCACCCGAUUUGUUGUAUUUGUUACCCACAGCCGUAAUAUGAACUCCGUAACAACGAUAUUCAGGGAAAUAUAUCAAAUCAGCUCACAAAUAUCUUAGCCAAAUUUUAUUGAGAUCGGUUCAGAUUUGGAUAUAGCUCCCAUAUAUAUGAUUUCAAAUUAAUUUUGCACCAAAUGGGCAAUACAAGUCAGAAUUUAAAAGAUACAAAUGCUUCGGCAAAUUUAGUCCUUUGAACCUUAAAUUAUAAUUAUAAUCAUAGCGUGUAUGAUUGAAUUCUCCCAUAAAAACUUGUAAUUGUUAUGUGGAGCUCUACUAUAUUUGCAAAGUGGUGUAGGGUAUCGUAAGUCGGCCCCGCCCGACAUUAAGUCUUUCUUUACUGGUUAUGAUUGUGUGUUGUCAACGUACAAAUUAAUAAAACACGUACAUAUGUUUUCGAGCUCGUCAGCUAAUCUAAUGCUAUGUUCUCAAUGCACUUUCAAUCAAGUUGUUCGCUCUCAGAAUUAGGUACACGAAUUAACCCGUUCAUAUGGCACGAUUCGUAAUUAAUAGUAAAAUAAUUCCUUUUUUCAAAAAUUUUGUUUGUUGAUUUUAAUGGGAAUUUAUACGAAAAUACAUGAAAUUCUCACUAAUAUGAAUAGAAGAAAUUAUUGUUUUCCUCCCAAAGAUUUAUUAUAUCAUUAAUUUUACAAUUUUCAUUCACGAUUUCAACUUUUUGUGUAAAUGUUGACAUUUUGAACACAUUUUUGUGUUUUUCCAUUUUUAAAUUCUGCUGGAGAGACACUUGUCAAACAUUUUUUCUGCCGAUAGAAACAUUUUGAAAAUGUUGCCUCUCUUGUUUGCGUUUUCUGUGGAAAUUUUAACUCGUGGACAAAAUACGUACCUCGAAUGAGAGAGAAAACAAAAUUUACUUUCGUUUGAAUGUACAUACGCCAUUCAACAUUGUAGUUUUCAUUCAUAAUUUUCAGUCUUCCCAAAAAUUUUUAAAAUUUCAUCAAAUUUUUCUAUUUUUAAUUUUUAAAUGUAAUAAUUUAUUUUUUCGAUAAAUGCUCUCAUUUGUUAGGGAUGGGACAUAUUUUUUCGUUGUUCUGAGAGUGAUUUGAUUUGAACAACGUACAAAUAUGAGUGUUCGCUCAGGAAAUUUUGUGUGAAGAAUUAGGUAGUUUUUUCAUAGUUAAGGGUCAAACAACGAAUAGAGAGCGAAUCAAGUGCAGUGGAAACGCCACAUAAGUUUAUAUUUGAAUUGUAAUUUAUCAAUAUUGGUUCUUACUGUAUUGAAUAGUAUGUCACAAAACUAAAAUACAUUUAAAUUUAUUGGAUUCAAUAACAUUUGCACCAAGGCCUAUAUAAGGUCGGCCAGGAAGCGAAUUGGCGAAAAACUUGUUUCGGCCUGACAUCUAAUAAUCAUGGCAAAUUUGUUAAUUGCCAACAAAGAAAAACAAAACCAAAGGGAAAACAUCAUGUAUCAGAAUGCCGACUUUUGUGUGGGAGGUGCCAGAAGAAGUACACCGAAACCUACCAUCUUCGGAUAUUAUAUUUGUAAAAAUAUUUGAAUGUGUGAAUUUUAGAUUGAAUCAUCUUAUAAUGCAUUUUAUGAAAGAUAAAAUUA